UACGUAGGGUGCAAGCGUUGUCCGGAAUUAUUGGGCGUAAAGAGCCCGUAGGCGGUUUGUCGCGUCUGCUGUGAAAUCUGGGGGCUCAACCCCCCAGCCUGCAGUGGGUACGGGCAGACUAGAGUGCGGUAGGGGAGAUUGGAAUUCCUGGUGUAGCGGUGGAAUGCGCAGAUAUCAGGAGGAACACCGAUGGCGAAGGCAGAUCUCUGGGCCGUAACUGACGCUGAGGAGCGAAAGCAUGGGGAGCGAACAGG
rnacentral:rRNA from 1 species